rnacentral:rRNA from 1 species
UACGUAGGUCCCGAGCGUUAUCCGGAUUUAUUGGGCGUAAAGCGAGCGCAGGCGGUUGGAUAAGUCUGAAGUUAAAGGCUGUGGCUCAACCAUAGUAUGCUUUGGAAACUGUCCAACUUGAGUGCAGAAGGGGAGAGUGGAAUUCCAUGUGUAGCGGUGGAAUGCGUAGAUAUAUGGAGGAACACCGGUGGCGAAAGCGGCUCUCUGGUCUGUAACUGACGCUGAGGCUCGAAAGCGUGGGUAGCGAACAGG